rnacentral:rRNA from 7 species
UGUCUCAAGACUAAGCCAUGCAUGUCUAAGUAUAAACGCUUCUAUACUGUGAAACUGCGAAUGGCUCAUUAAAUCAGUUAUAGUUUAUUUGAUGGUUCCUUACUACUUGGAUAACCGUAGUAAUUCUAGAGCUAAUACAUGCAGAAAGUCCCGACUUCUUGGAAGGGAUGUAUUUAUUAGAUCCAAAACCAGCGCGAGUUUCCUUCGGGGGCUCGGUUGCAUGGUGAUUCAUGAUAACUGCUCGAAUCGCAUGGCCUUGCGCCGGCGAUGAUCCAUUCAAAUUUCUGCCCUAUCAACUUUCGAUGGCAAGGUAGUGGCUUGCCAUGGUGACAACGGGUGACGGAGAAUUAGGGUUCGAUUCCGGAGAGGGAGCCUGAGAAACGGCUACCACAUCCAAGGAAGGCAGCAGGCGCGCAAAUUACCCAAUCCCGACUCGGGGAGGUAGUGACAAUAAAUAACAAUGCUGGGCUAUCGUAGUCUGGCAAUUGGAAUGAGUACAAUCUAAACCCCUUAACGAGGAACAAUUGGAGGGCAAGUCUGGUGCCAGCAGCCGCGGUAAUUCCAGCUCCAAUAGCGUAUAUUAAAGUUGUUGCAGUUAAAAAGCUCGUAGUUGGAUUUCGGGGCAGCCCGGCUGGUCCGUCGCGAGGCGAGUACUGGUCGGCCGCCCUUCCUCUCGAAAGCCCCGACUGCUCUUCACUGCAGUGGUCGGGGAGUUCGGGACGUUUACUUUGAAAAAAUUAGAGUGUUCAAGGCAGGCCAUCGCCUGAAUACAUUAGCAUGGAAUAAUGGAAGAGGACCUCGGUCCUAUUUUGUUGGUUUCUAGGGCCGAAGUAAUGAUUAAGAGGGACAGUUGGGGGCAUUCGUAUUUAAUUGUCAGAGGUGAAAUUCUCGGAUUUAUGAAAGACGAACAACUGCGAAAGCAUUUGCCAAGGAUGUUUUCAUUAAUCAAGAACGAAAGUUAGGGGUUCGA